rnacentral:rRNA from 1 species
AACGAACGCUGGCGGCAGGCCUAACACAUGCAAGUCGAGCGGACCCUUCGGGGUUAGCGGCGGACGGGUGAGUAACGCGUGGGAAUAUGCCCUUCUCUACGGAAUAGUCCUGGGAAACUGGGGGUAAUACCGUAUACGCCCUUUGGGGGAAAGAUUUAUCGGGGAAGGAUUAGCCCGCGUUGGAUUAGGUAGUUGGUGGGGUAAUGGCCUACCAAGCCGACGAUCCAUAGCUGGUUUGAGAGGAUGAUCAGCCACACUGGGACUGAGACACGGCCCAGACCCCUACGGGAGGCAGCAGGUGGGAAUCUUAGACAAUGGGGGCAACCCUGAUCUAGCCAUGCCGCGUGAGUGAUGAAGGCCUUAGGGUUGUAAAGCUCUUUCAGCUGGGAAGAUAAUGACGGUACCAGCAGAAGAAGCCCCGGCUAACUCCGUG